GGAAAGUCAGCUUUAUCGUCUCCAGGACACUGUUCAGAGGAGUCACUCAAACUCAGACAUUUCUUCCUCUCGUGUCCACUUGCCAGGACUGUCUGAGGAAGUGGGAGUCUUUGUGGUGGCUACUAGGUAGGACCCUUUAUGGAUCUCUGUGGUCAUUCACCAGUCCUUCUCCACUGGUGACUCCUCCAGACAUCAUCACAUUCUUCCAUUUCUCUGGGUGCGCACUAGUUGUUAAGGGAGAAUCUUCAGAACUAUAGCAAA
ensembl:misc_RNA